rnacentral:rRNA from 2 species
AGGCGAUGAAGGACGUGAUACGCUGCGAUAAGCGUCGGGGAGGUGCGAAUACCCUUUGAUCCGACGAUUUCCGAAUGGGGCAACCCACCUUUGAUGGCUAGAAAAUCUGAACCGUUCUUUGCGGAACGGCUCAAGUUUCUAGCUAUCGUAUAAAGGUAUCUAACUCUGAAUACAUAGGGGUUAGAAGCGAACCUGGGGAACUGAAACAUCUAAGUACCCAGAGGAAAGGACAUCAAACGAGACUCCGCUAGUAGUGGCGAGCGAACGCGGACCAGGCCAGUGGCUUUUGUGAAUGAAGUGGAACGAGUUGGAAAACUUGACCGAAGUGGGUGAUAGUCCCGUACACGUAGAAUAGCAGAAGUCCUUGAGUAGGGCGGGACACGUGAAAUCCUGUCUGAACAUGGGUCGACCACGAUCCAAGCCUAAGUACUCGUGCAUGACCGAUAGCGAACCAGUACCGUGAGGGAAAGGUAGAAAAGCACCCCGACGAGGGGAGUGAAACAGUACCUGA